CCCCCUGCCCCCGCCUCCGCCCGCCGGGACUGCCUCCUCCCCGAGCUGUCAACAAAGGAGAAUCAGGUUUGGCUUGGGGUGGCCGUCUGGCUGCCCGUCCUGCGCCCAGCUCAGCCCGGACCUGCCGGCCACCUUAAGUGGCCAAAGGGGCAAUGAAAAUCUGCCAGGGCCUGGGGAUUCCGGUGGAGGCCUUGUGAGCUCAGGUGGUUUAGCCCCCACUGCGAGGAGCUCAGGACUGAAGCCAAGUGGGGUGUGUGUGUUUAACAAUGAGAGUCAGCCCAGAGGAAAGAAAUUGCCAGAGCGAGCAAAUCUCCACUAGCUUGUCACCUCUGCCCUGCUCAACACCACGUAGGUGGCCACGCCUGCCUUUCAAAAUAAUGGGAUAAUUGGGUGCAAUGUGUGUCACCCCCACCCCUUGGAGAGAGGCUGCCAGACCGUCUUUGUGGGAACCCACAGGGAGCAAGGGGAGAAAGAAAGACAAGAACGAUAGCAGAAGAAUUUCUUCUUGCCUCUAACUGCCGGCUCUUCAGGGACAGAACAGUACACUCUCCCUCCGUCUGCCCCCAGCCUCAGACUUCUAUUUCCUGACUGGUGUGUGGAGUCCCUAACACAGCGACCAGGCGCUCCAAGGGGCUGGAGCACGUGUGUGCUGGAAAAGAUGAGGAGGGCUAACCCUGCCUUGGGGGUCUGUCUCUGGGCUGUCAUAAGGCAGA